GGGCCUCCUCGUCUCCGCGGAGCCCCGUCAAAGCGCUCCCGCCCGGGCUCCCCGCGGAAGCGACGCCCGGACGCCAGGGCCUCGCGGGCCAGGGCGGCAAAAACCGCCCUCCGCCGGCGGAGCGCCCGACGCGGCGCGCGUUGGACCGGCCGCUCCCGCCCAGGAGGGACGAGGCCUGGCCUGGACAGCCCCGCGGGGCACGGGGCUCAGGGGGACCGCUUUGGAGGGGAUGGCCGCGCCCUCUCUACCGCUUGCCUCAGGUGCAUCGCUGUGCAACAGGCAGGCACUUCCCGCCACAUUCGCCUACUCCACGCUGAGGCGGCAUUGCCCCGCCUGACCCGGAAGUCUGCGGCCUCCCCAUUGGCUCAGGAAGAGCAGGAGUUGGGGGGCAAGCGAGUGGGCGAAACUGGGUUACAACUGUUCUUGGAAAAAUUACCCUGGAGAGAAAACUGGAAACUGGAUGAAAAGAACCCCCACAAUAAGGGACAGUCCUGACUGAGGCGGAAGAGGCAGAAAUUCCUUCUGGAGAGAAAAAGCCACCUUCACAAACCACAGACCUUCACAGCCAGUAGGGCAGGAGCCACCCUAAGGAGCCUGAACCCCUGGACCCACCUCCAGGCUCACUCACCACCACAUAAUCCUCCAUCGUAGUGUCCAGCAGCUCAAGGGAACUGAAGAAUGUCACCAGGGAGGGGACAACACCCUGUGCCGCCAUCGGGAUGGGCAUGGUGAUGAGCUCCCAAUCUCAGGAAAGAGUGAGGAGAACUCCACCUGCCUCCAGCGCUCUCCUAGGACUUCCUGUCAUCUGACUGUCAUCAC
rnacentral:lncRNA from 1 species